GGCUGGUCCCAUGGUAGUGGGUUAUCAGAACUUAUUAACAUUAGUGUUGCCAGAGUGGGUAUACAAGCCCCCGCCCCUCGCUGCUAAAUUUGACUGUCUUUUA
rnacentral:Y_RNA from 1 species